UUAUGUAAUAGAGAGAGUACAAUCAGUAUAUAUAGCUAAUCUAAUUGUACUACACUACUCAAGUUCUACUACACUGAUGGAAAGUACAAUACAAAAUGAACUAUAGAGAUUACUUGCUCUGCAAGUUAUUGUCCUUAGUGUUAUUUCUAUCAUCUAUUUGUGUAGUGUGUGAUACUUAGCAUGUUUCAAAACGACAUAUGACUAAUUCACCGAUCUUGUUUGGAGUUUGUUAUGCGUAAUGAGAAUGUCUUAUCAGUGACCCCUUGGAAAGUAAAGCUUUGGAUUUAGACACUCAGAAUUUCAUUGUUGUUAGAUAUGAAUCUGUUUUAUGAUAUGCCAUUUGACAAAUCAAAUCCUACUUCUCAUGUUUCUGUGCGGUUUUAGCUUUGGACUGUGUUUUUCUCACGCUUGAUGUUUGAUGUUUGUAUGUAUAGACCUCUAGACAUGCUCUCUGAUUGUUUGUUUUAUCUGUCUCAGGUCACAAGGCCAGUGCUGUUUCCAUGUUCCGGGGUACUGCAUAAAGAGAAGCUUGUUUAAUUGCAAUCAUCACAGAUGUCGUGGUUUAACCAGAACUACUAUUGUAAUACACCUCUCAAUCAGGAGAAAUGAGAUUGUUCAAAACUUUAUUCGUUAAUAUUUUGGUUUACUUGUUGCUUGUAAGGACUAUGAGGAUUAUAGGUUUUGUUGAUAUUGAUAUAUUUGAUAUACAUGAAGUGAAUUGAAUCGCUUCCUUUAUGCGUUCA